rnacentral:tRNA from 1 species
GGGCUGGUAGCUCAGGUGGUUAGAGCGCACGCCUGAUAAGCGUGAGGUCGGUGGUUCGAGUCCACUCCGGCCCACCA